rnacentral:lncRNA from 1 species
CAGGAAAGAAGAGUAUAUGAGUAAAUGUGGGUUGGCUGUUUUAUUCGACCGAUCUGGGGGGAAACUCACAGAUGAAAUAAGAGACGAAAUCGCCAACGAUCCAAUGGAGACACCACAUGGACAAAACCUACUUCAAGAAAUCCGUGAAAGAUGGGACGAAUGGGAUCUGAAAGAUAAAGUUCAAGGUGAUAACCUCCUGGAUUUCGAUUCCUUCUACAAUGGUUUCAUGGCCCCUUAUUUUGCCUGUUACAGAUGUAACGAUACUAAAAAAGCGUUGCAGGCCCUCGAUAUGGAUAGCGACAACUCCGUUGAUUGGUCGGAAUUCUGUGUCUUUUUAAAAUGGGCAAUGAAGCAAUAUCCUAAAACAAUUCAUACUGCAGAUGAUUUACUCGAAGUAGCCUUCCGAAAAGGUUUAAUUCCUUGUAUGAGAGAUGAAAUGGUUGGCAAAAAGUAAAAACGAAAACAAUAUUGUAUCUUGAAACCAAUAGCAACAUAUAUUUGUAAUGAACUGCGUAUAUAUCCAUAGAAUGCAUCUGCUUGCAACUGCUAAUAGUAUAUUUAUGUCUUUUAUGUGUAACACAAAUGUGAUUAUUUCAACAAUAUAGAGAUAUAA